rnacentral:lncRNA from 1 species
AUAGCUUUUCUUAAUCAAGCAGAGAAAUGGCUGAGACACAGGGUGCUACCAGUAAGAUGGCAUGAACUUUAAUUUUUUCCUCUGCUUUGGCCAAACCACAACCAGUCUCAUUUGCAGACAGUGUAUUUUGUGUGUAGCCAUCUUGGGUGAGAAAAAUGGGGAGAGGACAGACCAGGAAUGAUUGGUCAGGAAGCUCUUGUAUACAAGCAGAGUGCUGCCUAGCAUGCUACUUGAAAUAGUUGGGCUGCACACCCAUGAUGUGUAGUGGUGUUAUUCAGCAGUGAAAAGGCUGUAUUUAAUCCACCGUAAUCUCAAAGCAAAUGGGAAAACUCAAUUUUAGUUUUUAUUCUUCGCAUUCAUCAGUUCUUUUCACUGAUGAUAUUCUUUAGCAGUUUGGUUUACAUAAGUUGGAAGUUACUUUUGUGUGAACAGUAGAAUUCAUAGGGACCAGAUCCAGCUUGCAGUGGAAUUGAUUUGUGUGCUGUGAGAAGUUGGCACACGUAUUUGUGUUCCACAGUGGCAUCGCAAGGGGGGGCAGGUCAACCCUGGUGUCAUGUUUGGGGUGUGUGUGACAAGAAGGCACCCCGUCGGGUGCUCGCUCUGCCACCCUGGGUGCAAGCAGCCAUCAUGCCACUGCAGCUGCAUGUGGAGGAUCCUCCGUUUGCGGCUGCAACCACGAGCAGAGGAUCCUGCCACCAUCCGUAUGGCGUUCGAGCGGCGCCAGCGGCAAACCGCUAUGUACAAUGCAUGUGUGGUGUCGCAUGCAUGCGCUGUACGUAGCGACACCGCACAUGCACCCCCUGUAGUGAUGCCACACAUGCGUCGUACGUAGCGGCACAAUGCAUGCACAGAUGGCGGUUUGCCCUGCCCCAGGUGUCGGUUAGCCUUCGUUCGCCCCUGGUGUUCCAUUCUGAAUCUUCUUUGCUUCUAGAAAAAUCUGUGAUCUGAACAUUCCAAAUUUUAAUUGAGGGGGAGGGGAUCAAAAAGUUUGGUUUAUGAAGCUCUAAUCUGAGUUCAGUUUUGAUAAGGGAGUCUUCCCUCAAACAGUAUCAAAAUAGCAGUUAUGUGCUUUACCAUGGACUAAGUUAUGGGUACCCAACAUAGUGCCUUCCAGAUGAUGUUGAACUCCAAAUCCCAUCAGUCACAGCCAGCAAAGCCAAUGUUAAGGGAUGAUGGGAGUUGGAGCCCAACAACUUCUGUGAGCAUCAUGUUUGCUAACACUGGGCUAAAGGAAAAGCAUUGAUGGAAUGGUUACAGCCUUGGCCUUGCAUUGCCUAGUCUUGUGCUAAACAGAUCACGUGAACUUAGCUAUUUUUUCCCUUUUCUUGGAAGGGAAGGUCCUUUUAUUCUUAAGUUUUGGGGUGUACCUUACAAGCUAGUAUCAGAGAAAAUGAAUACAUUGAUUCAGUAGGGGGAGCUCUUGCUAUUAUUUCUAAAUAGGAAGAGGCACUGGAGUCCUUCAGUGGGAAAAAAUAUUGAUAUGUACAGAUUUCCUUAGCUGUGAAAGUGAUAUAAAUCUCUCACAUUAUUAGAAAUAUCUGCUAGAAUGGAUAUUAUUUAAGCACAGGGUUAAUAAAGAUGUUAUACAGGUAUGCUCACACACAUGUAUCUAAAAUGUAAAGUUUAGAUGUACUAGGCCCUGCAGCAAAUUUUGGGUAAAUAAAAAUAUUUUGAUUGUGCUGUUAGGAAAAAGUUGCAUAUAGUAGUUGCAUAUAGUAAGGGGCGACACCUCCCUUUUUUGUAUGGUAGAAUGGAAGCAAAUAUGAAAACCUAUUAUGGUCUCUCGGUGCAUAUCUCUCUUGAAAUGACAUGCAGAUAGGAGUUGUGCAUCUUAGGCUGUAAAUAAGUUUAAUGAUUUCCUGCUGCAAUUCUGUAAAUGCUGAGUCAGUGGGAGACAGGAUCCAAUUGGAAGCACAAGCCAUUGUAAGGUAAUGGCAAUAUCUUGUUUGACUGAGUUGCUUUUUAUUGUUGGAUGUAGAGACAUUUCCUGGCAUCAGCUCUUUCAGUUGGAGGUGCAGACAUUUCCUGGCACCAGAUUUUGUAGGAACUUGAACAAGAUAGAUCUGCUUCCUUUCCGCCUAUAUAUCUUUGGACACUCAGUGAUUAUCAUGGUGAUGGUGAGCUCCUGCUGGCCACUUACCUGUUUUACAAUCUCAGUGGCUGAGUAUCCAGCCUUGGCAGCCAGUAAUAAUAAUUUAAUAAUUUAUUAUUUGUACUCCACCCAUCUGACUCUGUUGCCCCAGCCACUCUGGGCGGCUUCCAGCAUAUAUAAAAACAUAGUAAAACAUUAAACUUUAAAAAGCUUCCCUAUACAGGGCUGCCUUCAGAUGUAUCCUAAAUGUUAUAUAAUAAAUUAUGAAAUGUGGGCAUGUUAAAGGGCAUGUGUAGAAAAGGCUGAGCCUUGGGGAAGGGCUUUAGCUUAGAGGUAGAGCAUCUUCGCAGGCAGAAGAGGAUCCAAUCCCUGGCAUCUCUAGAUAGGACUGAGAGAAAAUCCUGUCAGAAAUCCGGGAAAGCUGCUGCCAGUCAGUGUAGAAAAUCCUGAGCUAAAUGGAUCAGUGAUGCAACUCAGUAGAAGGCAGUUUCCUAUGUUCCAAUGCAAGCAGGAAUCGAGCAGGAAGAGAAAACAGUAUCUCAUGCAUUGAAGGGAUAUUUACUGAGAUGACCUUUCACCUGCACCAUCUUUUUGCAGUUGCCAUAGGACAUAUUGGCAGGCACACUGGAGCCCACAGGCCCCAUGCUGCCAAUCCCUGAUCUAUAGGCAUUUCACUCUAGCUUUCUCUUUCAAAUAUUUGUGUAGAGAGUGUGAGCACUUUGGGCCCAUGUAACUCAUCACCUGGCUUUUUAGUGUUUGACAACUACAUACCUUCUAUAUUAUUAUUUAUCAAAUGUAUAUUCCAUACUUCUUCUCAAAGGAGCCUAGGGUAGCAUUAGCAUACAAAGGAAUCAAAAGAUGGAGAGGGUAGAGGGGGCAGAUGUUAUAUGCGGCCUUCAACAACUCCACUUGCCAUGGCAAGUGUGAUGAGUGCCAAGCCUUUCUAUCACAUCUGGAGCUGCAAAGGAAGGCAGGAUUCAUCUUAGCUGUGACACAGUAAUUGAAACAAGGGCAUCUCGACUCUCUUGGGUGCUACCAUGCAAAAGCACUUGGGGUGUCUUUAAGCAGCAGCGUGCAAGGUAGUUUGCUUCUCUGGUUCAGAGAUGGCUGAGUGGGGUGGGGGCUUGCCAGGUGGGAGGCUGUUGACUGCAAUUUUCAGCCAGCAAAGCCAGUCAAUUUGUAGACUGCUAUUUAAUCGUCGUCGUUCUAAAAAAGUGGAGGGUGGACUUCAACAUGUUAAAGAAAAAAUGCUGUAGUGAUCAGCAUGGUAUGAAUAGUAUGACUGAAAUUCCUGCUAAUUCUGUUGUCAGCUUUGCCUUCUGCUACUUGUUAAUAUACAUGUUACUACCAAAUGGAGCGCUGUGAAAAGAAGAGGGAAAGAACUCAUAGGCAAUUUUAUUAGAAUUACUGAAUAUGAUUAUAUUCAAAAUUAAGUGAAUUAUUUGUUAAUUAACUUAAUAUUGACUUCCAUGUACUUAUAAUAUACUUAAUGAUAAUGACCCAAAGAGUGAUAGUUUGUGCGUAAACAUUUCUAGUACCCGAACUGAACAAUUAACUUACUAAGUAGUAAAAGAGAGUUGUGUGUUUAGCUACAGAUGAAUUAUUUAUAAAAGAAUAUGUUGUUAGAAUCUGCCAGCUAGUAUGAACUGGCCCUUAAGUAGGCAUUAAUAUCCAUCCAAGUGUGUGUCGUCAAAACUGUGUAUACCUGAUGGGAAACUGUAGACUCCUGGUUUACCAUAAGAAGAAGCCUCUCAAUUUGACAGGGGAAAUGCAUUAUCCCAUUUCAUUGCAAUAUUUCUGCAAUAUGGAUGUGCAGUGUCAUUUCUGCACUGUUCCUGGGAUUCAAGUGUUACAUAUGGAUUGGACCAAUGUGUGGUCCCAUCAUCUGCUGCCAGCCUUACCUGCAUCCUUCAUCUAAAUCCCUUGCUUAAUCUCCUUGAGCUAAGGAUGAAGUGCCUAUCCAGCUAAAGCUUUCUUCCCACUUAUUCAACAAGGCCUCUCUUUGCUUGCUCAUGCAAUUGCAUGUCUAUGCAUAUCUUUCAGCACGACUGGCUGCAAUCUGUCUAGAUUACCCUGUUCUAGCAUCCCGGGGACUGCAUCAUUUGUCAAAGGGUGAGCAGGAAAAUGUCAACGAACAAUGCCCAUGAUAUCGAGGAGCAUCCUAUGAACAUUGGUGCAUGCUGUCAUUACAGAAGGAAAAUAGAUGCAUCUGUUACAGGAGCACGAGAGAGUGUGUGCACGCAGAAGAUGAAAGGCUAAUGAGUUGUCGGCGAUGUCGGUUAAGUCCAUAUAAAAUGCUACUGCAGAAGUUGCAGUUGUAAUAAAUGUCGGGAAGGGUUUGCAGUGACACCGGCUACUCUGCAAAUAUAGUGGGUGCUUUAAAACUAAAUGUAUAUGGACUAACUCGCAAGGCUGUGAGUCAAGCUUUAUUUAGAGCAGAGGUGGUGCACUUGAUGUUGGGUUGAGCUCCAAUUAUUCCUGACAAUUGGCUAUGCUAGCUGAGACUGAUGGUAGUUGGAGGCUGAUGACAUCUUGAGGACCAUAGGCUGCCCACCCUUGCUUUAGUGCUUGCCUGUAGCACUUGUGAAUCACCAAGCCACAUACAACCCACCAGCCUGUUUUUGCAGCAACACCCACUCUUGUUUGCAGCAACACCCACUCUUGUUUUUGCAGUCCCAGGCAGGCAACAAAACCAUAUACUUAUCAUCCCCACAGUGUGCUUAUGUGUGCACAUGGGGCGGGCAGGCGGGCUAUAUACAUCACAAGAUUUGGAGGCUUAAUUUGGAGAUUUAUCUUUAAUAAGAUUUAGAGUGGGCAGAUGGGGGAUCCUGUGGCCCUCCAUGUUGUUGGACUCCAAUUCCCAUCAGCCCCAGCCAACAUGGCCAUUUCCGGGGUGAUAGGAGUUGUUGUUCAGGAACAUCUGGAAGGCUACAGGUUCCCUGCCCCUGGUUUAGAGAAUUCAAAUAUUGUGUAAACCCUGAAUAUAUCAAUAUAUUUGCAGAAGCAUUCCAUUAGAGGUAAUGAACUGUGUUAUGCAAGUCAUAGCUCAUAUACUUUUGUCAUAUUUGCCACUGUGAUAAAAGUUCACUCCUUUUAUGGGUGAAGAACUGAGGCUGAGAAUCUGUGACUAGCCUGUUGAGUCCAAGCCCUGUAAGAACAAUUUAGAAUUGACCAGCCUUCUGAGAAAUGGGUGGGCUGGGUUUUUUUUACCCAACUCAUUAGAAUUGUGGGAUCAAUUCAAACCAAAUUCUUUUGUACCAAGAGGUGGGUGGAGGAGUGAUUAAAUAAUGACCUAGCUACACACUCUAUGCUUACCUCGUGAAAAGGAGCCUGGACUUGAUAAGAUUCUGAAGUCUCCAUGCCAACAGCAAAGAUGAUUGAAGGUGGAGGAGAUUGAAAUCGAUUGGGAUGCUGGCUGUGUCCUUUCCUUCUUUUCCUCCCUGUUAUUCUCUCUGCUGCUAAUUUUCCCUACCACAAGGAUGGGGAACAUGUGGCAUUCCAGCUGUUGCUGGGCUCCAACUUCCACCAUCCCUAAUCAUUAGCCAUGCUGGCUGGGGCCAAUGGGAGCUGGUUCAAAUGCCACACAUUUCCCAUCACUGCCCAGCAGUUGGAUGAAGGACGAACAGAGGAAGCAAAGAAGAGAAGCAGCAAGAGAUAGCUGUUCUGCAGGGGCUCCUUUUAGGUGCCAUGUCUGUCUUUACUCUUACUUUCUUUGCCUGUCAGCAGGAAGCCUUCGGAAUUCUUAACCUUGGAUCCUGCUUACUUGUCACAUCAUCAUCAUCAUCAUCAUCAUUAUUAUUAAAUUGAUAUACAGCUUAAUUGCCAAGGCGGCUUCCAAGCAGUUUACAAGGAUAAAACCUUUAAAACGAACAGAAAACCCAGACACAUUUCAUCAAAAUACACAAUAAAAGUGUUCCAUC